rnacentral:rRNA from 1 species
GAUGAACGCUAGCGAUAGGCUUAACACAUGCAAGUCGAGGGGCAGCAUGGUCUUAGCUUGCUAAGACUGAUGGCGACCGGCGCACGGGUGCGUAACGCGUAUGCAACUUGCCUCACAGAGGGGGAUAACCCGUCGAAAGACGGACUAAUACCGCGUACACUCCAUCUUGGGCAUCCAAGGUAGAGGAAAUGAAAUUCGCUGUGAGAUAGGCAUGCGUCCCAUUAGCUAGUUGGUGAGGUAACGGCUCACCAAGGCGACGAUGGGUAGGGGAACUGAGAGGUUGAACCCCCACACUGGUACUGAGACACGGACCAGACUCCUACGGGAGGCAGCAGUGAGGAAUAUUGGUCAAUGGGCGAGAGCCUGAACCAGCCAAGUCGCGUGAAGGAUGACUGUCUUAUGGAUUGUAAACUUCUUUUAUACGGGAAUAACAAGAGUCACGUGUGACCCCCUGCAUGUACCGUAUGAAUAAGCAUCGGCUAACUCCGUG